GUGGCGGAGUAAUUAUCCCUGAGGGCAUCGUCGAGCUCCCGCUUAUAUUAGGUUCUGGUAAUACACAAGUGACGGAGAUCACACCAUUCCAAGUGGUUGGUACCCCAAUGGCCUACAACAUCAUUCUGGGAAGACGUCUACUGAAUAAGAUCCAAGCUAUUGUAUCAACUUUCUACCUGGACAUGAAGUUCUCCACGGGUCAUGGCAUUGGAGUAGUUCGAGGAGACCAAACAGCUGCCAGACAGUGCUAUGUUACUAGCAUCCGAGGAAUGAGUACAGACGUCAUGCAAUUUUUAGACCUCGAGCUCGAGCCAAGGAGUAGAUUGGCCCCCGUUGAGGAAUUGGAAGUGGUCGAGCUCGAGCAUGAGAAAACGGUGACUAUUGGUCGGGAUCUGAAGGCCAGCCUCCGGGAGGAAGUCAUCAAUUGUCUGUCCCACAACAUCGAUGUUUUUGCAUGGAAGGUCGAGGAUAUACCAGGGAUAGACUCUGAAGUAGCAGUCCAUAGACUCAAUAUAAGCCCAGGGGCCAAACCUGUUAAGCAAAGAAAGAGACAGUUUGUGCCAAAAAGACGUGUAGUCAUUCAGGAAGAGGUCGACAAACUGGUGAGAGCGGGGUUCAUAAGGGAAGUCCAAUACCCCGAUUGGCUCGCUAAUGUUGUUCUUGUAAAGAAGGCUAGUGGUAAAUGGAGGAUCUACAUCGACUUCAUAGAUCUCAAU
rnacentral:lncRNA from 1 species